rnacentral:lncRNA from 1 species
CUUGUUUAAAUGUUGAGGAGUGGCUGCUCUUCACACACCACUUGAAUCCCUCACUUGCUGAGCUUAACAGCUCCUUCUCUUAUCAUGCAAGCUCAUCCACACUCCCCCUCAAGCUUGAGACCGAGUAGAGGAAAGGUCCAAGCUUGAUGGUGAGCGCAUGUUAGCUCCAUGAUAAGCCUUGUGGAGAGCACCUCCAUCUCUUUCAGACUUGAUGCUUGAAUCCUCCACUACAUCACCAUUGCACUGAGGAGAUACCUCAGCCCACUCUCCAAGCAUCUCACACUAGCUUGUUGAGUGACUUUCUUCUUCCCUCCACUUCGGCUGGAUCACUCCAUGAUCAGCUUGCAAUGGCCUUGAGUAACACAGGUCAUUGAGCAACAGGAUCAUCAGGUGGCUCACUUUGCUCCCCUCCUCAAGCUUGGAUUGAGUAUGGGUCCAAGCUUGAAGUGAGCCUCAAUGAGCCUUAAGAUCAGGAGCGCAACAUCUCAUAGAGUGCGCUUCAACCACUGAUCAACCCUUCCCUUUAUCUCCAAUGCCUUCUGGUCACCGGUCUCCUCUAGACUUAGGUGAUGACCACUCGCCUUGUGUAUCCACAUACACCCCAGCGACCAUUCCCAAUGGGUAAAGUCUUCCUCUUCUACUCGGAUUGAUGAUGGACAGAGAGCACAUCAUGUGAACCUGAAACAUCACUCAAACUCCAGCAAAGAUAAGACACAAGCAUUGGGAUCAAUCCUUGACUAAUAUCAAGUUUGAUCUCCAAUGUCACAAGCUAUGCAACAGAUUGAAACAAGCAUUAUCAAGUUCACAUCUUUGCAAGCAAUCUCUCUAAGUACAAGCAAGAUCAAAUAAGAUUCAAGACAAGCUACUUAGGCAUUUUAACUUCUGCCUUAACUACACCUUAGACUUGAAUCUAAGUGUAUCAACCUAAGGCAGCAACAAGAUGACAGUAUGCUAUAUAACCUUAAACAGUUUCUAAUUCAUGAGUGCAACAUGAUCAGACAAUACAAUCUAUCACACACUCAUUUAGAACUGUGGCUAAGCAGUAUUAUCAUCAAUCAACAUCAGACAAUGCAAAACCUUAAGUUAUUUCAGUUUAAUGAAAGCUAAUAGGAUUUAGACAGUUUCUAACAUCCUAGCUCAAUCAUAACCAAAUUGGGCAAGCAUUUCAUUUCUCAACAUCAAACAAGACUCAAUAGCAUCCUGGGACUAAACAAGACAAUAUUAUCAAGCAUUUUCAGUCAUUAACCCACGGAUGCAACAUAAAGAACACAACACAACAGCCAGUUUCAAUCACAAGCUCAUAUCAAGAAGGUUUAGGAUUAGCUUACAACCAAGGAACCUGAGCUGGUUCCUUGAGCCUCCUUGGUAACAGGCCACGAAUCUAGUGGAUAAGAGAGCUGGAUCGUCACCCAACACCUUCUCCUUAUGUUCAUAACCUCCUCCUUGACACCACAACACAAAAGGUUCCACCUUUCUUCACAGCUCCAAGUCUCCAACUUCAGGAACAAGAUGAAAGCUUUCUUCUUGAAGGGUUUCAGCUUGGCACAGAGUUGAGACACGCCUUUAAUGGACUGGAGAGAGGAGGAACGACCAGGAGACACCACCAUAGCUUCAAACACCUUCUUUUUGAAGAGAGAGAACAGGCUGGACAUCUUCAAUGGUUUGGAUCUGUGAUGAGGCUAGACUUGUGAUGUAUAUGCGGAAGCUGGAACCAAGUUCUGAUAGAGAAAGACUCAAAACUUGCUUGAUUAAUUAAUGAGAGAGUGUUUACAUAUUUAUAGGGAGAGAGCUUAGUGUUAGGUUUUCAGAGCUCAGGCUGUGUGUGUGAGAAGAAGCCACUAAGGGCGAAAUGAGAGCUUGAACUGAAGAGAGAAAGGUCUGAUGAAGAACAGUAUGAACUUGGACAGAAACAAGAGAUUUAGAAAGAUUAAGAGAUUUAAGUAUAAGAAAGGGGUAGUUUGAGGGAUUCUUAUCCAAGAACACACUUUGUAUUAUGAAGGAGGAGGGGAAAUCCCCCUCUCUCUCUUAAGAGACACAAAAACGUCCAUACAUAGCUUAUUUAUAAGCUUUACACAUUGCAAACUCAUAAACCCUUAAUCUAAUGGAUAGAAAUGACUGAAUUGAAAUGGAUGGCUAGGAUGGAGUCUGGUGGGUUGCUGAGGACGUGAUGGAUGCUGAUUGGUUGAUUCAAACUGGUCAAAGCAAGGGCUGGCUCCUGAUUGGUUCCCUUAAGGCUCCCAUGAACCUUGUUCACAAAGAUGGCUAGAUACAUGGUCAAGGCUGCUUUUCCUUUACAGCUCAAAGACAGCCUGUCAUUGACCACGCCCUAGCUCUCCCUUAUCCACAAACAGUCACAAGAUAACUCAGGUUUGUCUUCUCUUGCGCCCUAAGUUUGCACAGCUUCAUUUCAGGUUGAUCCGGAACAAGUACGGUCGAUGGUACGGACCGUCUGUCCGUACCUCUCCCUAUUUUUGCACCAACUCCCAAUCUUCUCAAAUGGUUGAGUCUGAACAUGAUCUUGGUCGCCCUAAGUUCGUACGGUCCGUACCGUCCGUACCGAUGCUCGACCCUAUUUCUGCACCAUCACCCAACUGACUCCAAAUGGUGUCUAAGUAUGUCUAAGUCCCUCCUGGACUUGACCCUAACUUUGCACACCUCAUUUGGAUACUUCUGGACACUCCUGAACACUCCUAAAGCCUUGAUAGACAAUCUCCAGAGGUCUUGCCCCAUUCUCGCUCAAGACCCAAACUCAACCCAACUCCUCCUUUGGCUCCAUUUCUUUCUUCAAGUCAACACUCCCCCUCAAGCUUGACUCUAGGUGAUCCUAAGCCAAGCUUGGAACCUUGAAGAACUCCCUCAUUAAAAACCUCACCAAGGAAAACCCUUUGGGACAAAACCUUGAGGAGGGAAAAAGAGUAAAGCCUUCAAGGCCUAGGGAUUGGCCAGUGAGCCUAUGUGCCUUAGUAUCAAUUGGGACAAAACCUUGAGGAGGGAAAAAGAGUAGAGCCUUCAAGGCCUAGGGAUUGGCCAGUGAGCCUAUGUGCCUUAGUAUCACUGAGGUUUAGGCACAUAGGCUCUGGAUCACGGCCUCUUCACUUCACCACACCUUCUUAAACUCUUCUAUAGAACCGGCUUAGUGUCUCCCCCCUUUCACCUGACUUCAUGCCAUCUUGAAAGGCUAGGAACGACCUGAUCCUCUCCAUUGAGUCUCCAAGUAAGGUACCUGAUACAUCAUUCCACAAGUGUAUCAGUUCUCAAGAGAUAAACCUAUCAUGAAUGUAUAUAAAGAGAUUGAUCAGGUUUACUCCCUUGUUUAAAUGUUGAGGAGUGGCUGCUCUUCACACACCACUUGAAUCCCUCACUUGCUGAGCUUAACAGCUCCUUCUCUUAUCAUGCAAGCUCAUCCACACUCCCCCUCAAGCUUGAGACCGAGUAGAGGAAAGGUCCAAGCUUGAUGGUGAGCGCAUGUUAGCUCCAUGAUAAGCCUUGUGGAGAGCACCUCCAUCUCUUUCAGACUUGAUGCUUGAAUCCUCCACUACAUCACCAUUGCACUGAGGAGAUACCUCAGCCCACUCUCCAAGCAUCUCACACUAGCUUGUUGAGUGACUUUCUUCUUC